AACGAACGCUGGCGGCAUGCCUAACACAUGCAAGUCGAACGAGUCCUUCGGGUCUAGUGGCGCACGGGUGCGUAACGCGUGGGAAUCUGCCCUUGGGUUCGGAAUAACAGUUGGAAACGACUGCUAAUACCGGAUGAUGACGUAAGUCCAAAGAUUUAUCGCCCAAGGAUGAGCCCGCGUAGGAUUAGCUAGUUGGUGAGGUAAAGGCUCACCAAGGCGACGAUCCUUAGCUGGUCUGAGAGGAUGAUCAGCCACACUGGGACUGAGACACGGCCCAGACUCCUACGGGAGGCAGCAGUGGGGAAUAUUGGACAAUGGGCGAAAGCCUGAUCCAGCAAUGCCGCGUGAGUGAUGAAGGCCUUAGGGUUGUAAAGCUCUUUUACCCGGGAUGAUAAUGACAGUACCGGGAGAAUAAGCUCCGGCUAACUCCGUG
rnacentral:rRNA from 1 species